AAAAGAAGACUUUUAAAGGAAUACCUCCGGUUUUUAAUUUGAAAUCUUCUUUGACGCGCUGUCACACAUUUGGGGGCGAAAUGAAAUUGCUUUUCGUCAAAAGCAUCGGCGCGGGUAAACAUCUCGACGUUUUCCAUGCUUCCGUCUCAGCAACGCAAUCCACUCUGUUUCCACACAGAUCCGGGGAUCAACUGUUGCGGCGGGGGAGGGGGGCCGGCGGUCGCCGCAGACAUCGGGAUCAGAAACUCCAAACAGGGAUAACACCCUCUCAGCAUUCAGUGUUUUCAAUCAGGGGAUCAGCUACUGUGACUGGAAACCAAAUGUCCCAGACGAGCCAUCGCACAGAAGUUUCCGCCAGGCGAAAGCUGGCACGACUAAUAUGGCUUGUCAUAGUGAAAAUGGCCCGGCAUUGUUCUCACCUUCCGGAAAAGUCCCGACGGCGCCCGUGCCCGUUCACGGCGAACAGCGUUACAGUCAACUGCCAAUCUGGGCCCUGCUGUUCGGGGCCUCGCCUGCUGACAAAUGGCCCGGAGGAGAGGUCCGAGGAGAGUCCUGUCAGAGGCAGCGAGCCUCUGCAGCGAUGCUGGCGAAGGCGGAGGCGGAGGCGGAGGAGGCGCUCGCCAAAUAGAUCUCAGCAGAAACCUCCGACGCUGAGCGCUCCGGUCCCUGGCACCGGCGCCCGAUCCGUUUGUGUCAACGCGGGGAGAUGCUGACGCUCCAGAUGUGCGCGAUUCAAAUCCGUCAGCCGCAACAGCCGGGCUUCUAAAUGAAGGCGGCGUUUCUGCAGCGGUCGACACAAAGUGCCGCAAGAAGACGAAAGGGCCGACGCGGAGGCGCUCACAGCUCACACUGCGCUUCGUGGAGAGCAUCCGUGGCCGUGGUUAAUCACAGCAACUGGAUUUGGGCUCCUGUGGCUCGGAGCCCAGUGGAACGAGCCCAGACGCCGAGGCGCCGUCCCACCAGCAGGUGGAGGAGGCACACGCGGGAUCCGCUGCCGAUGCGGUGCUGCAUCCCCGCGAGGCGCUGCCACGAGCUCCCCCUGGGGGCCGCGCGCCCGGCGGCGGGAAGGGGCCCGGCGGGGACGCGGGACAGGGCGCCGGCCGCCACCAGGACCCGCGCUCCCAGCCGCCGCGUGCUGAGCGCGCCCCGUGUUGCGCAUUAUGAAUCAUUUCAUUGUAAAUAUCCUGGAGGAGCGCUCUAAAUUCCACAUUUGGUUCAACAGCCUGAAGUGGUUUGUGUUGAAAGCGUCGCUUUUGUGCGGAAUACUACUGAAGCAACUCUGGUGGGUGGGUGAUGGUGGUGGUGGGGGGGGCAUAGACUCGCAGCAAAGUCACAGUCAGUGUUAUAAUAGAAACAAGGCAGGAGAAGUGAUACAUACAGAACAGACGCGUGCACGUGAGCUGCAGCGCUGCACGUGUUACAACUCGCUGCUAGAGAGACGUCUCACUCCAGGGGUGUAGUGUUGCAUUGUGACAGAUAUUAAUGUCACUGAGGAACAUGAUGGAUGGAAUUCCUUUAUGAUGUUGCUUUCUAUCUCAGACUCUGUCUCUCAGAGCCUGGCACGCCGCAGACAGGCCUUUAAUGAGCUCUGGAAGCAUCCAUAUCUGCUGACAGCCCUUCCUUAGCCGCCUCUUUGCCGCUGCCGACUCCCAGGGAGACGGGGGAAGUCUACGACAGAACACCCAGACGUCUUGUACCCGACAACAGGAAACACGGAAUAAAUUAGGUUCUUUUUUUUUAAGCCUUUAAUUA
rnacentral:lncRNA from 1 species